CGGGGAAUUUUGGACAAUGGGCGCAAGCCUGAUCCAGCAAUGCCGCGUGCAGGAUGAAGGCCUUCGGGUUGUAAACUGCUUUUGUACGGAGCGAAAAGGUCUGCCCUAAUACGGUGGGCUCAUGACGGUACCGUAAGAAUAAGCACCGGCUAACUACGUGCCAGCAGCCGCGGUAAUACGUAGGGUGCGAGCGUUAAUCGGAAUUACUGGGCGUAAAGCGUGCGCAGGCGGUUAUAUAAGACAGAUGUGAAAUCCCCGGGCUCAACCUGGGACCUGCAUUUGGGACUGUAUAGCUAGAGUACGGUAGAGGGGGAUGGAAUUCCGCGUGUAGCAGUGAAAGGCGUAGAUAUGAGGAGGAACACCGAUGGCGAAGGCAAUCCCCUGGACCUGUACUGACGCUCAUGCACGAAAGCGUGGGGAGCAAACA
rnacentral:rRNA from 1 species